rnacentral:rRNA from 1 species
UNUGAAGUUAAAGGCUGUGGCUUAACCAUAGUACGCUUUGGAAACUGUUUAACUUGAGUGCAGAAGGGGAGAGUGGAAUUCCAUGUGUAGCGGUGAAAUGCGUAGAUAUAUGGAGGAACACCGGUGGCGAAAGCGGCUCUCUGGUCUGUAACUGACGCUGAGGCUCGAAAGCGUGGGGAGCGAACAGGAUUAGAUACCCUGGUAGUCCACGCCGUAAACGAUGAGUGCUAGGUGUUAGGCCCUUUCCGGGGCUUAGUGCCGCAGCUAACGCAUUAAGCACUCCGCCUGGGGAGUACGACCGCAAGGUUGAAACUCAAAGGAAUUGACGGGGGCCCGCACAAGCGGUGGAGCAUGUGGUUUAAUUCGAAGCAACGCGAAGAACCUUACCAGGUCUUGACAUCCCGAUGCCCGCUCUAGAGAUAGAGUUUUACUUCGGUACAUCGGUGACAGGUGGUGCAUGGUUGUCGUCAGCUCGUGUCGUGAGAUGUUGGGUUAAGUCCCGCAACGAGCGCAACCCUUAUUGUUAGUUGCCAUCAUUCAGUUGGGCACUCUAGCGAGACUGCCGGUAAUAAACCGGAGGAAGGUGGGGAUGACGUCAAAUCAUCAUGCCCCUUAUGACCUGGGCUACACACGUGCUACAAUGGCUGGUACAACGAGUCGCAAGUCGGUGACGGCAAGCUAAUCUCUUAAAGCCAGUCUCAGUUCGGAUUGUAGGCUGCAACUCGCCUACAUGAAGUCGGAAUCGCUAGUAAUCGCGGAUCAGCACGCCGCGGUGAAUACGUUCCCGGGCCUUGUACACACCGCCCGUCACACCACGAGAGUUUGUAACACCCGAAGUCGGUGAGGUAACCUUUUAGGAGC